GACGAACGCUGGCGGCGUGCUUAACACAUGCAAGUCGAACGGACAGGCCCUGAUUUUGUGGGGUGCUCGAUUGGCGAACGGGUGAGUAACACGUGAGUAACCUGCCCUUGACUUUGGGAUAACUUCAGGAAACUGGGGCUAAUACCGGAUAGGAGCUCCUGCUGCAUGGUGGGGGUUGGAAAGAUUCGGCGGUUGGGGAUGGUAUCGCGGGUUAUCAGCUUGUUGGUGUGGUAGUGGUUUACCAAGGCUUUGAAGGGUAGCCCGCCUGAGAGGGUGACCGGCCACAUUGGGACUGAGAGACGGCCCAGACUCCUACGGGAGGCAGCAGUGGGGAAUAUUGCACAAUGGGCGGAAGCCUGAUGCAGCAACGCCGCGUGCGGGAUGACGGCCUUCGGGGUGUAAACCGAUUUCGCCUGUGACGAAGCGUGAGUGACGGUAAUGGGUAAAGAAGCAACGGCUAACUACGUG
rnacentral:rRNA from 1 species